rnacentral:rRNA from 1 species
CUACGUGCCAGCAGCCGCGGUAAUACGUAGGUGGCAAGCGUUGUCCGGAAUUAUUGGGCGUAAAGCGCGCGCAGGCGGAUUGGUCAGUCUGUCUUAAAAGUUCGGGGCUUAACCCCGUGAUGGGAUGGAAACUGCCAAUCUAGAGUAUCGGAGAGGAAAGUGGAAUUCCUAGUGUAGCGGUGAAAUGCGUAGAUAUUAGGAAGAACACCAGUGGCGAAGGCGACUUUCUGGACGAAAACUGACGCUGAGGCGCGAAAGCCAGGGGAGCGAACGGGAUUAGAUACCCCGGUAGUCCUGGCCGUAAACGAUGGGUACUAGGUGUAGGAGGUAUCGACCCCUUCUGUGCCGGAGUUAACGCAAUAAGUACCCCGCCUGGGGAGUACGACCGCAAGGUUGAAACUCAAAGGAAUUGACGGGGGCCCGCACAAGCGGUGGAGUAUGUGGUUUAAUUCGACGCAACGCGAA